CAGAGGUCCCAAGCGUUGUUCGGAUUUACUGGGCGUAAAGGGAGCGCAGGUGGCAUUCUAAGUCUGAUGUGAAAGCUCUGAGCUUAACUCAGAAAUGGCAUUAGAUACUAGUUUGCUCGAGGAUUGGAGGGAGAUUGGAAUACUUGGUGUAGCAGUGAAAUGCGUAGAUAUCAAGUGGAACACCAGUGGCGAAGGCGAAUCUCUGGACAAUUCCUGACACUGAUGCUCGAAAGCUAGGGGAGCAAACGGGAUUAGAUACCCCGGUAGUCCUAGCUGUAAACGGUGCACGCUUGCUGUAGGUGGAAUCGACCCCGCCUGUAGCGAAGCUAACGCGUUAAGCGUGCCGCCUGGGAAGUACGGUCGCAAGAUUA
rnacentral:rRNA from 1 species